rnacentral:rRNA from 1 species
AUUGAACGCUGGCGGCAUGCCUUACACAUGCAAGUCGAACGGUAACAGGUCUUCGGAUGCUGACGAGUGGCGAACGGGUGAGUAAUACAUCGGAACGUGCCUAGUAGUGGGGGAUAACUACUCGAAAGAGUGGCUAAUACCGCAUGAGAUCUACGGAUGAAAGCAGGGGAUCGCAAGACCUUGUGCUACUAGAGCGGCCGAUGGCAGAUUAGGUAGUUGGUGGGGUAAAAGCUUACCAAGCCGACGAUCUGUAGCUGGUCUGAGAGGACGAUCAGCCACACUGGGACUGAGACACGGCCCAGACUCCUACGGGAGGCAGCAGUGGGGAAUUUUGGACAAUGGGCGAAAGCCUGAUCCAGCAAUGCCGCGUGCAGGAAGAAGGCCUUCGGGUUGUAAACUGCUUUUGUACGGAACGAAACGGUCUUGGUUAAUACCCUGGGCUAAUGACGGUACCGUAAGAAUAAGCACCGGCUAACUACGUGCCAGCCGCCGCGGUAA